CGCGUAGGCGGACAUUUAAGUCAGGGGUGAAAUCCCGGGGCUCAACCUCGGAAUUGCCUUUGAUACUGGGUGUCUCGAGACCGGAAGAGGUAAGUGGAACUGCGAGUGUAGAGGUGAAAUUCGUAGAUAUUCGCAAGAACACCAGUGGCGAAGGCGGCUUACUGGUCCGGUUCUGACGCUGAGGCGCGAAAGCGUGGGGAGGCAAAACA
rnacentral:rRNA from 1 species